AAAAACAUCGCCUCCUGCAAAAUUCAAGGUAUAGGAGGUCCAGCCUGCCCAGUGACCACAAGUUCAACGGCCGCGGUAUUUUGACCGUGCAAAGGUAGCGCAAUCACUUGUCUUUUAAAUGAAGACCUGUAUGAAUGGCCAAACGAGGGCUUAGCUGUCUCCCCUUUCAAGUCAGUGAAAUUGAUCUGCCCGUGCAGAAGCGGACAUACACCUACAAGACGAGAAGACCCUUUGGAGCUUAAGGUUCAAGCCCAACCGCGUUAAGCAACUUACAAAAUAAGCAUUAAACCUAGCGGAUARUGGCGCUUUACCUUCGGUUGGGGCGACCACGGAGAAAAAGAUAUCCUCCGAGUGGACUGGGCCAACUAAGCCUAAAACCAAGAAAGACAUUUCUAAGUAGCAGAAAAUCUGACCAAUAAUGAYCCGGCCCAAGGGCCGAUCAACGGACCAAGUUACCCUAGGGAUAACAGCGCAAUCCUCUCCCAGAGUCCAUAUCGACGAGGGGGUUUACGACCUCGAUGUUGGAUCAGGACAUCCUAAUGGUGCAGCCGCUAUUAAGGGUUCGUUUGUUCAACGAUUAAAGUCCUACGUGAUCUGAG
rnacentral:rRNA from 1 species